CAUGCUUUGGAUGAGAUGUCAGCCCAUUUCAGAAGAAAAUAUUAAGGCUGCAUUCUUCAGAUUUGUGCUUGAGCAAGUCAAAACAUACCUCAGUAACAUUCCAGUUCCAAAGGCACCAAGUUCAUUUGGAAUACAUCUUAAAAUGCAUACCUUGGCUGACAGAAAAUUCUAAUCAUUCCUUUGUUUAAUUGAUACAUUUGUGUUCAUGUGUUGUAAGUAGACCGCUGAAUAAGAUCUGAGGGCUGA